rnacentral:rRNA from 1 species
UGCAUGUCUAAGUUCACACCCUCGUACGGUGAAACCGCGAAUGGCUCAUUAAAUCAGUCGAGGUUCCUUAGAUGAUCCCAAUCUACUUGGAUAACUGUGGUAAUUCUAGAGCUAAUACAUGCCAACCAGCUCCGACCCGUUAUUGGGAAAGAGCGCUUUUAUCAGUUCAAAACCAGUCGGGCCCGUUAAACGGUCCGUCCCUUGGUGACUCUGGAUAACUUUGUGCCGAUCGCAUGGCCUCGAGCCGGCGACGCAUCUUUCAAAUGUCUGCCCUAUCAAAUGACGAUGGUACGUGAUCUGCCUACCAUGUUGGCAACGGGUAGCGGGGAAUCAGGGUUCGAUUCCGGAGAGGGAGCAUGAGAAACGGCUACCACAUCCGAGGAAGGCAGCAGGCGCGCAACUUACCCACUCCUGGCACGGGGAGGUAGUGACGAAAAAUAACAAUACGGAACUCUUUUGAGGCUCCGUAAUUGGAAUGAGUACACUUUAAACCCUUUAACGAGGAUCUAUUGGAGGGCAAGUCUGGUGCCAGCAGCCGCGGUAAUUCAGCUCCAAUAGCGUAUACUAAAGUUGUUGCGAUUAAAAAGCUCGUAGUUGGAUCUCAGGCAUGGGCGCACGGUCCGCCUCGCGGCGGUUACUGUGUGUAUGUUUCCCAUCCUACGCUUCCCGGUUGUUAGCCCAUGGUGCUCUUCAUUGAGCGUUUUGGGUGGCCGGAACGUUUACUUUGAAGAAAUUAGAGUGUUCAAAGCAGGCAUGUCGCCUGAAUAAUGGUGCAUGGAAUAAUGGAAUAGGACCUCGGUUCUAUUUUGCUGGUUUUCGGAACACGAGGUAAUGAUUAAGAGGGACAGACGGGGGCAUCCGUAUUGCGGUGUUAGAGGUGAAAUUCUUGGAUCAUCGCAAGACGAACUACUGCGAAAGCAUUUGCCAAGAAUGUUUUCAUUAGUCAAGAACGAAAGUCAGAGGUUCGAAGACGAUCAGAUACCGUCGUAGUUCUGACCAUAAACGAUGCCAACUAGCGAUCCGCUGGUGUUGCUUCAUCGACUCUGCGGGCAGCUUCCGGGAAACCAAAGUCUAUGGGUUCCGGGGGAAGUAUGGUUGCAAAGCUGAAACUUAAAGGAAUUGACGGAAGGGCACCACCAGGAGUGGAGCCUGCGGCUUAAUUUGACCCAACACGGGGAAACUCACCCGGUCCGGACACUGUAAGGAUUGACAGAUUGAUAGCUCUUUCUUGAUUCGGUGGGUGGUGGUGCAUGGCCGUUCUUAGUUGGUGGAGCGAUUUGUCUGGUUAAUUCCGAUAACGAACGAGACUCUAGCCUACUAAAUAGUUCGCCGAUCCUUUAUGCGUCGGCGUCAACUUCUUAGAGGGACAAGUGGCGUUUAGCCACACGAGAUUGAGCAAUAACAGGUCUGUGAUGCCCUUAGAUGUCCGGGGCCGCACGCGCGCUACACUGAAGGAAUCAGCGUGGCUAUCUCCCUGGUCCGAGAGGAUUGGGAAACCCGUUG